CCUACGGGAGGCAGCAGUGGGGAAUUUUGGACAAUGGGCGAAAGCCUGAUCCAGCCAUUCCGCGUGAGUGAAGAAGGCCUUCGGGUUGUAAAGCUCUUUCGCAAGGGAAGAAAACUUAGAUACUAAUAUUAUCUGAGGUUGACGGUACCUUGAUAAGAAGCACCGGCUAACUACGUGCCAGCAGCCGCGGUAAUACGUAGGGUGCGAGCGUUAAUCGGAAUUACUGGGCGUAAAGCGUGCGCAGGCGGUUUUGUAAGUCAGAUGUGAAAUCCCCGAGCUCAACUUGGGAACUGCGUUUGAAACUACAAGACUAGAAUAUGUCAGAGGGGGGUAGAAUUCCACGUGUAGCAGUGAAAUGCGUAGAGAUGUGGAGGAAUACCAAUGGCGAAGGCAGCCCCCUGGGAUAAUAUUGACGCUCAUGCACGAAAGCGUGGGGAGCAAACAGGAUUAGAUACCCUGGUAGUCCACGCCCUAAACGAUGUCUACUAGUUGUUGGUGGAGUAAAAUCCAUGAGUAACGCAGCUAACGCGUGAAGUAGACCGCCUGGGGAUACGGUCGCAAGAUUAAAACGUUAAGAGUAGUAGCGUGAGAGAGCGACGACGACGACGACGGAGGAGGAGG
rnacentral:rRNA from 1 species